UUUCCGUAGGUGAACCUGCGGAAGGAUCAUUGCCACACACGAUCCAAGAUCGACACUUUUAAUGUGAACUGUUUGUGUUUCCAUCCUUAAAAGAGGGGGAAGAGAGAGAUUUCUUUCUUUUUUACCUCUUCUUUUUCGGAAAAUAUUUUAUUACACCUUUUCUUACAAUUGGUUGAUACAUAUAUGGAACAUAAAAUGUUACAACGAGUUCGUCUUGUUGCUAACGAAAAUUAUAAUUAAAAACAACUUUUAACAACGGAUAUCUUGGUUCUU
rnacentral:misc_RNA from 1 species